rnacentral:rRNA from 1 species
AUUGAACGCUGGCGGCAGGCCUAACACAUGCAAGUCGAGCGAGCGGAGGACGGGUGAGUAAUGUAUGGGGACUGCCCGAUAGAGGGGGAUAACUACAGGAAACGGUAGCUAAUACCGCAUACUAUCGGAUAACCCAUAUGGGAUUAGCUAGUAGGUGAGGUAAUGGCUCACCUAGGCGACGAGCCCUAGCUGGUCUGAGAGGAUGAUCAGCCACCCUGGAACUGAUACACGGCCCAGACUCCUACGGAGGCCGCAGUGGGAAAUAUUGCACAAUGGGCGCAAGCCUGAUGCAGCAAUGCCGCGUGUAUGAAGAAGGCACUAGGGUUGUAAAGUACUUUCAGUCGGGAGGCGUUGCCGACAGAAGAAGCACCGGCUAACUCCGUGCCAGCAGCCGCGGUAAUAC